AGAGUUUGAUCCUGGCUCAGGAUGAACGCUAGCGGGAGGCUUAACACAUGCAAGUCGAGGGGCAUCAUUCACUUCGGUGAGAUGGCGACCGGCGGACGGGUGCGUAACGCGUAUGCAACCUACCUUAUACAAAGGGAUAGCCCAUGGAAACGUGGAUUAAUACCUUAUAGUACUAUAAAACUGCAUAGUUUAAUAGUUAAAACUACGGUGGUAUAAGAUGGGCAUGCGUCUGAUUAGCUAGAUGGUGAGGUAAUGGCUCACCAUGGCAACGAUCAGUAGGGGUUCUGAGAGGAUUAUCCCCCACACUGGUACUGAGACACGGACCAGACUCCUACGGGAGGCAGCAGUGAGGAAUAUUGGUCAAUGGACGAGAGUCUGAACCAGCCAUCCCGCGUGCAGGAUGACGGCCCUAUGGGUUGUAAACUGCUUUUCUAUGCCAAGAAACCUUACUACGUGUAGUAAGUUGACGGUAGCAUAAGAAUAAGGACCGGCUAACUCCGUGCCAGCAGCCGCGGUAAUACGGAGGGUCCAAGCGUUAUCCGGAUUCAUUGGGUUUAAAGGGUGCGCAGGCGGGCUUGUAAGUCAGUGGUGAAAUACUGCCGCUUAACGGUAGAACUGCCAUUGAUACUGCAAGUCUUGAAUAUGGUUGAGGUAGGCGGAAUGUGUUGUGUAGCGGUGAAAUGCAUAGAUAUAACACAGAACGCCAAUUGCGAAGGCAGCUUACUAAGCCAUUAUUGACGCUGAGGCACGAAAGCGUGGGGAGCGAACAGGAUUAGAUACCCUGGUAGUCCACGCCGUAACGAUGUUCACUCGCUGUCUGCGAUACACAGUAGGCGGCUUAGCGAAAGCAUUAAGUGAACCCCUGGGGAGUACGAUCGCAAGGUUGAAACUCAAAGGAAUUGACGGGGGCCCGCACAAGCGGU
rnacentral:rRNA from 1 species